rnacentral:rRNA from 1 species
UGGCGGACGGGUGAGUAACGCGUGGGCAACCUGCCUUACACAGGGGGACAACAGUUAGAAAUGACUGCUAAUACCGCAUAAGCGCACGGGAACGCAUGUUUCUGUGUGAAAAACUCCGGUGAUGUAAGAUGGGCCCGCGUUGGAUUAGGUAGUUGGUGAGGUAACGGCUCACCAAGCCGACGAUCCAUAGCCGACCUGAGAGGGUGACCGGCCACAUUGGGACUGAGACACGGCCCAAACUCCUACGGAAGGCAGCAG